GAGGUUGUAGCUCAGUGGUAGAGCACUUGCUUUGUACAUACGAGGCACUGGAUUCAAGCCUCAGCACCACA
rnacentral:tRNA from 1 species